AGAGCAUUGACAGGACCUUUCCCUAGUACGAGAGGACCGGGAAGGACGCACCUCUUUUGUACCUGUUAUCGUGCCUACGGUAAACGCUGGGUAGCCAAGUGCGGAGAGGAUAACUGCUGAAAGCAUACAAGUAGUAAACCCACCCCAAGAUGAGGGCUCU
rnacentral:ncRNA from 1 species